CACUUCACAAAACCAUUUUAUUCAUAAAAACAAACUAAUUUUAAAUUACUAUUAAGUCCUCCUCAUUUAAAUAAUUAAACUUAAAAAUUUGAAUAUUAAAAAUCAUAAAAAGUAGCUCAUUAAUUCUUUCUCAUUAACUGUAUUUUGACUUGACAUAAAAAUUAAUCUAUUUUAAAGUCUUUUAAAUAAUUCUUAAAACAUAAACUUAUUGACAGCAAUACACAAGCUGUAAUUAUUUCAAAAGAAAGUGAGUUUAAAUCGGGGAAUAUCAUUUUAUACUAACAAGCUCCCCUAAUUGGAUAUGUGAAACCGCCAAAUUUUUUAAGUUUUAAAUACAUUUACAAUUCUCAUAUAUUCUUAAUCCUUUAGUAGAAUAAUAAUAAUUCAAAUUUUACUAUAUUGAAA
rnacentral:rRNA from 1 species